rnacentral:rRNA from 1 species
UGGGGAAUAUUGCGCAAUGGGGGCAACCCUGACGCAGCAACGCCGCGUGAUUGAAGAAGGCCUUCGGGUUGUAAAGAUCUUUAAUUGGGGACGAAAGAAAUGACGGUACCCAAAGAAUAAGCUCCGGCUAACUACGUGCCAGCAGCCGCGGUAAUACGUAGGGAGCAAGCGUUAUCCGGAUUUACUGGGUGUAAAGGGCGAGUAGGCGGGCUGGCAAGUUGGGAGUGAAAUCCCGGGGCUUAACCCCGGAACUGCUUUCAAAACUGCUGGUCUUGAGUGAUGGAGAGGCAGGCGGAAUUCCGUGUGUAGCGGUGAAAUGCGUAGAUAUACGGAGGAACACCAGUGGCGAAGGCGGCCUGCUGGACAUUAACUGACGCUGAGGAGCGAAAGCGUGGGGAGCAAACA